rnacentral:rRNA from 1 species
GACGUAGGGCGCGAGCGUUGUCCGGAUUGAUUGGGCGUAAAGAGCUCGUAGGCGGCUCGUUGCGUCGGCUGUGAAAACCCGCAGCUCAACUGUGGGCCUGCAGCCGAUACGGGCGGGCUGGAGUUCGGUGAGGGGAGACUGGAAUUCCUGGUGUAGCGGUGAAAUGCGCAGAUAUCAGGAGGAACACCGGUGGCGAAGGCGGGUCUCUGGGCCGAGUGACUGACGCUGAGGAGCGAAAGCGUGGGGAGCGAACAGGAAUUAGAUACCCGUGG